CCCUUAGAUGUUCUGGGCCGCACGCGCGCUACACUGACGAAGUCAGCGAGCAUGUCCUACGCCGACAGGUGCGGGGAAUCUUGUCAAACUUCGUCGUGAUGGGGAUUGAUUAUUGAAAUUCUUGAUCAUCAACGAGGAAUUCCUAGUAAGCGCAAGUCAGCAGCUUGCGUUGAUUACGUCCCUGCCCUUUGUACACACCGCCCGUCGCUACUACCGAUUGAAUGGUUUAGUGAGAUCUUCGGAUUGGCGCCACUGCGGCUCAGCAAUGGGAUCGGUGGAUGCCGAAAAGUUGAUCAAACUUGAUCAUUUAGAGGAAGUAAAAGUCGUAACA
rnacentral:rRNA from 1 species